GGUAGGGGGGGGGGGGGGGGGGGGGGGGGGGGGGGGGGCUUUUUCUAUCUAUCAAGAGCGAAAAGAGCAAAAAAAGUAAUAGAGGAGAGUGUGUUACCAGCACAAUCAAAGUGACGGUAACCAAUUUUGAUGGCGUUAAAGAUAAGAUCUUUUAUAUCUUUGCCUUCCAUUCGCCAAACACCGAGUCCGAUUAUCGGCAUCUUGAAGCCGCUGUUGAGUGUAAUCGCCAUUUCUGCGAUUUUUCACUUUUCUUUUGGGACUUGCUUUGGUUGAUUGCUUGGAACUUGUAUAUCUGUAAUAAUUGAGAUUUAGCUUCGACUUAUAUUGAUGGGCCGAACUGAACUUACAGGCUCCAAAAGAGUGAAGUGCAUCAGUAGCCACUUUUAAGCCUACUAUUUAAAAAAUAAUCAUAAUUUAUAAUAUAUUUAAAAAUUAAUCAGCUCACCCAAACUUCAAGACUAAAUACCCUGAAUUUCUGAAUUGCUAAUUUGAAAUUAAAGACUUUGUAUCCUAAGUUUUUGAGCUACUAAUUUAAAAUUCAGGACUAAAUAUCCUAAAAUUUAUGAACUACUAAUUUAAAAUUUAGGACAUAAGAUUCGAAUUUCUGAACACAAUUUUUGAACUUUAGGACACGGAGUCCUAAAGUUUGAAUGAAUUGACUAAUCUUUAAAUAUAUUAUAAAAUGUGAAUAUAUUUAAAUAGUAUACUUAAAAGUGGCUACCUGGUGUCAUUUCCACGUGUUUAUAGACCAUGUUGGCCCAAUUAGUCCAAUUCUUCCCACAUCAAGUCCGAAUGCGAAAGUAAAUAGAAUGAAUUAAGCUCUUUCUUGGACGAUCACCUGGAUCUUGGUCAGCCACCAAAAGAUUCAAAUUGAAAAGAAGCCCGUUUGAAA
rnacentral:lncRNA from 1 species